rnacentral:rRNA from 1 species
CCCUAGUAACGGCGAGUGAAGCGGCAACAGCUCAAAUUUGAAAUCUGGCCCUCGGGUCCGAGUUGUAAUUUGUAGAGGAUGCUUUUGGUGCGGUGCCUUCCGAGUUCCCUGGAACGGGACGCCAUAGAGGGUGAGAGCCCCGUCUGGUUGGACACCAAUCCUCUGUAAAGCUCCUUCGACGAGUCGAGUAGUUUGGGAAUGCUGCUCUAAAUGGGAGGUAUAUGUCUUCUAAAGCUAAAUAUUGGCCAGAGACCGAUAGCGCACAAGUAGAGUGAUCGAAAGAUGAAAAGCACUUUGAAAAGAGAGUUAAACAGUACGUGAAAUUGUUGAAAGGGAAGCGCUCAUGACCAGACUUGGGCUUGGUAGAUCAACCUGGGUUCUCCCUGGUGCACUCUUCCUCGUCCAGGCCAGCAUCAGUUCGCUGCGGGGGAUAAAGGCUUCGGGAAUGUGGCUCCCUCGGGAGUGUUAUAACCCGUUGCGUAAUACCCUGCGGUGGACUGAGGUUCGCGUUCUGCAAGGAUGCUGGCGU